rnacentral:sRNA from 12 species
GGAUAAUCCCAGGCGACUGGGGAAAAGUCAGGUCAGGCUGGUUGAUCUGGCUCCUCUGAAACCAAGACGCAAGUUUUGGCGAGGCAGAAUUCACCAGUUCCUCUGGCGGUGUUCGCACACCGUCAUAUGCGAAUGAGGAACUUGGCAAUAAGCAGUGAUUAGAAACCACUGCAAGUUGAGUCAAGUAAUUCAGGCNGGUUUCGAGCCUGAAUGAAUCGCAGUCACCCAGAGGGUGUACAGUUGCUACUGUGUAUCAGCACGGUGCGAACGGCUCUGGCGGAUUUGAAUCAAAUUAAAACCGCCCAAAGAAAAACGCCGAAAGGCGGACAAAAGGAGCGCCCGCAUCGGGAAGGCACCGGAACUAGGCAGGUUCCGUGAAAAACUUCCAACCGCCGGCGAUGUUAAAAACGACACCGCUGGACUGUGAAAGAAAAGCAACUUGAGAGAGCAGAGGCGAGACCCGUGGUCUCGGGCGAACGCACCGCCACCAGCGGUGGCUGACCCGAAGCCAGUGGUUAAGACGUGAACGAAAUUCCAGGCGUGUCUUGACCUGGUUUGCAGGCCGGUGGCGCAACCACCAGCCGAAGCGAGCUGAAAAGCCUCACUCAAUAAUCCGGCGGCUGAAAAGUCCCGGACGGCCCUGCUACGAGGCCGAUAACUCCGUUUGUCAUGGAGAAUGGCGUCGGGAAACCAGCAGCCUCUGUAAAGAGCGCGCCAAAUGCUGGUCCGGGAAAGAGAGCGUGGCGAACUCC